rnacentral:tRNA from 4 species
GGUGAGUUAAUUCCGUAGGGGUAGCGGGGCAGACUGUAAAUCUGUUAUCAUUGCGAUUCGGGUGGUUCGACUCCAUCACUCACCACCA